ensembl:lncRNA
AACAUUCAUUGUGUUAUUGCAUUAAUACAGUUUAAACAGUAGAUAUUUGGGGGAAGUUACUAACAUAAAAGUGGAAUAUUGGAAUAUGUCUGACAAGAGGAACAGUCCUGCCCAGUGUGAAAGCCAACACACACAGCCUUACACACUCAGCUCCCUGUAUUCUACAGCUGCACUGCUACAGCUUCACCUAGAGGGGGCGAUAGAAACAACCAGAUUUAAGGGACAGGACAAACAAGACCAAUGACAGACAACACAUCUUAUCUGAAAGGCUCUCCUGACAUAGCUGUCCCAAUAGAGUCACUAUGAUCCAGAAACUGACUGGCCAUAGGACAUUUUGGAGCCAGAUGGACCGGUCCAUCUUUAAGCACAGUGGGCUGGCCUAAAUUGGGUGUUUGCAAAGAACAACUGUUUUGGGGGCGGGGGGGGUAGUGUGUAUGAAAAUACAUGUAAAUGUUGAAAAGAAAAACAGUCACAUUAUCAAUCAUCACAGAUCACUGCACCUGUACAUAGCCCAUCUGUAAAUAGCCCAUCCAACUACCUCAUCCCCAUACUGUAUUUAUUUAUUUAUCUUGAUCCUUUGCACCCCAGUAUCUCUACUUGCACAUUCAUCUUUUGCACAUCUAUCACUCCAGUGUUUAAUUGCUAUAUUGUAAUUACUUUGCCACCAUGGCCUAUUUAUUGCCUUACCUCUCUUAUCAUACCUCAUUUGCACACACUGUAUAUAGACUUUUUGUACUGAAUUAUUGACUGUAUGUUUGUUUAUUCCAUGUGUAACUCUGUGUUGUUGUAUGUGUCGAACUGCUUUGCUUUAUCUUGGCCAGGUCGCAGUUGUAAAUGAGAAUGUGUUCUCAACUAGCCUACCUGGUUAAAUAAAGGUGUUCUCAACUAGCCUACCUGGUUAAAUAAAGGUGUUCUCAACUAGCCUACCUGGUUAAAUAAAGGUGUUCUCAACUAGUCUAGCUGGU